rnacentral:rRNA from 1 species
CCAAUAGCGUAUAUUAAAGUUGUUGCAGUUAAAAAGCUCGUAGUUGAAUUUCGGGAUCAAUAUUUCGGUCAUGCCGUUGGUAUGCACUGUUAUCAUUGAUUUCUCACCUUCUAAAGAACAGUAAUGCCAUUAAUUUGGUGUUACGGGGAAUUAGGACUGUUACCUUGAAAAAAUUAGAGUGUUUAAAGCAGGCUCACGCUUGAAUACAUUAGCAUGGAAU